ensembl:misc_RNA Metazoa_SRP Metazoan signal recognition particle RNA
GCCAGGCAUGGUGGUGUGUGCCUGUAGUCCCAGCUACUUAGGAGGCUGAGAUGGGAGCAUCACUUGAGCCCAGGAGGUUGAGGCUGCAGUGAACCAUGAUUGUGCCACUGUAUUCCAGCCUGGGUGACAGAGUGAGACCCUAUCUCCA